rnacentral:rRNA from 1 species
UACGUAGGUGACCAGCGUUGUCCGGAUUUACUGGGCGUAAAGAGCGCGCAGGCGGUCGUUCAAGUCGAGUGUGAAAGCCCCCGGCUCAACUGGGGAGGGUCACUCGAUACUGAUCGACUUGAAGGCAGGAGAGGGAAGCGGAAUUCCCGGUGUAGUGGUGAAAUGCGUAGAUAUCGGGAGGAACACCCGUGGCGAAGGCGGCUCUCUGGAACGCAACUGACGCUGAGACGCGAAAGCGUGGGGAGCAAACAGG